rnacentral:rRNA from 1 species
UACGGAGGGGGCAAGCGUUGUCCGGACUUACUGGGCGUAAAGGGUGCGUAGGCGGCCUGCUGCGUCGGUGCUGAAAGCGCCCGGCUUAACCGGGCGAGGCGUGCCGAUACGAGCGGGCUGGAGCCUUGGCGAGGGUGGCGGAACUCCUGGUGUAGUGGUGAAAUGCGUAGAGAUCAGGAAGAAUACCCGUGGCGCAAGCGCCCACCUGGCCGAGACCUGACGCUAAGGCACGAAAGCGUGGGGAGCGAACCGG